GAUGAACGCUGGCGGCGUGCUUAACACAUGCAAGUCGAACGAUGAACUUGGAGCUUGCUCUGGGGGAUUAGUGGCGAACGGGUGAGUAACACGUGAGUAACCUGCCCUGGACUCUGGGAUAACUUCGAGAAAUCGGAGCUAAUACCGGAUAGGACCUUGCACCGCAUGGUGUGGGGUGGAAAGUUUUUCGGUUUGGGAUGGACUCGCGGCCUAUCAGCUUGUUGGUGAGGUAAUGGCUCACCAAGGCGUCGACGGGUAGCCGGCCUGAGAGGGUGACCGGCCACACUGGGACUGAGACACGGCCCAGACUCCUACGGGAGGCAGCAGUGGGGAAUAUUGCACAAUGGGCGCAAGCCUGAUGCAGCAACGCCGCGUGCGGGAUGACGGCCUUCGGGUUGUAAACCGCUUUUAGUAGGGAAGAAGCCUUCGGGUGACGGUACCUGCAGAAAAAGGACCGGCUAACUACGUGCCAGCAGCCGCCGCGGUAA
rnacentral:rRNA from 1 species